ACAGCGCCCCACUUCCGACAUUGUGUUUAACGCAAGGCAAAAGCAGCGGAAGUCGAAGAAAAAAUGUCGCUAAUUCGGUUUUGAAAUGGAAACAUAAUACACGACGCGACCGCUCCCGUGUUAAUUAUAAAAUUGAUGUGAGCAAUUGUAAAAUCUAACCACUUCCAUGCACAUAAAGACAUUUGGUCAUUGAAUACUUUACGGAUCAGGAUUGUUCAGAUUUUGUUACUUUCCUGAGACGAGACUUCCAAUCUAAUCAAGAUUGACAGAUCGAGUGUUCAGCAUACGUCUGACUACUUGGAUCAGCGAAAAAUGUUUGAGCAAAUGGGAGCCACGGGAACAACUCACAGAUGCACCAGCGGCGUCAUGGUCGCGAUUUUUUCCGCAGUCAAGUUCGCAGAUUGUGAACAAUCCUUGGUACCCAAUUGCGUAAUCAGGGCUGGUAGCAGGAACUGAUGGUCAAAAUAGUUAUUUUAGUGACCAAUAUCUCUAAAAUAGUGACCAAAUAGUGACUUUCAGAAUGCAAAAAAAGUGGCUAAAUAGUGACUUUUGGCACAAACAUAUGCUUAGUGAGGAAACAUUGUAGAACGAAUUUGAUUCAGAAAACCCUGGAGUACCGCAUAAUGAAAAUGUUCAAGAAAGUCUUUCAUCUUCCAUUCCUGAAAUUGUACAAAGCUGCAUGUAUUUACAAUUUUAUAGAAUACAUUGUGCAGGACUAGAUGAGCAUGGCAUGAAAAUUCUGUCAAGAAAAAAUAAAUAAAUUAUGAAACUCUUGGAAAACUUGUUGGAUGUUUUCUGUCAUGAAUUUCACCUUGAUGGAAACUUAGACAAAUGCUUAAAAAUGUGCGAAUGAAUUUGAAUAGGAAUUUUUCAAAUAUGAUUUCUUGAAUAUGUUUGCAAAAAUUCUCUCAAAAUAAAAUAAAAUGAAUAACAGAAAGUAAUUAAGUAAUUUUGAUGUAAUACUUGAAAUAUUUCAGAAGAAUUACAAGAAGAAAACAACGGUUUUUUAAUAGCCUAUGAAAAUGUAAUAGAACUCUUAAUUUUUUUCAAAAUGUCCCAUAUUUAGUAAUUUAUUUGAAUUGUCUCAUAGUUUCUGGUUAAAUUUUCAUAAUAUGUAGUAACAAGCAUUCUGGGAGAAGUUGUUAAUUUUAUUUGGGGACUUAAAAUAAUGACCAAGCCACUAAAUAGCGACUUGCUAUUAGGCCUUCACUCUCACCGACGCAUCAUGGGGCGGCCCCAUACAAAAUAUGUUUGCGUUAGUUUAUAAAACUCUCCAAAUUUUAUGGAACUCAGUCUUCCAAUAUACAUAAAAGUUGUUUCGAUACACACGUACAGUGAUUGGAUUCCAUUGAUGUUGUUUUUUAAGGCAUAUGUUUUGAAGAUUUCUACAACAGUUUUACUACUUUUAGUUCUACAUAUGAUCUAGGUCGUCCCAAAACUCCAUGAAAUGUAGGUGCAAGAUCUACAAGCAAAACUAGUAUUAUACGAAUGACUAUUCUAUACGCUCCAGACCAAUGACACUUCUAACAAGUAAAUGGAGUAUUAUAUUGAACUGUAUACAUGGUACAGCCCGGAUAAAAACGAACAAUUAAGGCUAUGGGAAAACAAUUGAAAAACCACAGAUUCUUAUGUUAACAUUGCUUUCUAUUGUGAAUGUAUUGUACAGUAUUUUUAAAAUUUGAUUCUUUUUAAUGAUUACAAAAGAUUUACAUUAGAUUCCAUGGUUACAUACCCAAACAAUAGAUUAACAUUUGAAUUCUUUGUUACUGUUGGAUUCAGCGUUCAAACCAUUAGUUUACAAUAGAAUGUAUCAGUAACAUUGAAAUGUACUGUUUUUCAAUGGUCUGGACGUUUGAAAAAAAGGGUUUUUGCUUGGGUUUUUGAGUAAUUCCGAAACAGUGUGUAUCGAUGACAGCCAAGUUUUGUUGUAGUCAGCUCGGUCGUCAGCGGUAAAAAAUUCCGAAUAGCAGUUUUGUGUGCGGAAAAUGUGGAAAAUUCACGCUCAGCUGCGUGAAUUUUCCGCAUUUUCCUCACGGGAGAAAAUACAGUGUGUGGUGCAGUGCUGAAUCAUUCAACAGUUGCGGCAUUUCAACAGGUUUGUAUGUGUUUUGUUUGCGCUUUUGCGAGAGCCGAGAGGCGAGAAGUUGAGUUGGCAGGGCAGGGCUGGUAGCGAAUCACACUUUCCCAGAAAAAUUCCCAGGGUUGGUUCAACCUUUUUCAUAAUAUAAUAAAAUCAUCUAAUUAGUACUUUUUACCUAUAUUUAAGAUUUUUUUAAAGUUUUCUAAACUAACAUUUGAAAAGGGCUAAUUUUAUUGUACCAGUAUUAAAAAAAAUAUUUAAAAAAAUGGAAAUAUAGCAAGAAAAAGUUGCGAGCUUUAGAUAAAGGGAGCAUCAUGGUUUUCUAAUUUAAAGACCGCCCCAGAAAGUAUGUAUCAACGCACAGAGAAACUACUGGCAUUUAAAAAUUAUUGAUUAUUGACUUAAUAUACUUGCACAAACGUUCUGUAUACAGGACCUGCGGUGCGACAGCGCCUUCGAUUUUGUCAUUGACAGUACCUCGGACACUACUUUUAAGUUGGGUUUUGCCCCAAUCUGCAAACAUCUAACCAUCGAGGCAGCCCAUCUCAUGAGCCCCCAACGAACGAAUCGGCACUGUACAUAAAAUUCUAAGUUAUAUUUGAACCCACGUUUCGUUAUUAAUAACCCCUUCUCAUCUCUCAACAGUGACAAGGACGUCAAGCCGGUGCGCGGUGCAUAAGCAAUCAACCCAGAGCUUGUUGAAUGCCGAUCUAAGCAAGAUCUGCAUGAGGACCAACGGACUUAUUGUAAAAAUACUAAUUUUCCCUUCCUUUAAUUUGACUGCAAUCUUGACUGCAAUAGUUUCAUCAUCAAACUUUUUUUCGUGAAAUCAAAUGUGAAACAUAUUACUGUGUAGAACCGUAGAACCAUCUUUUGCAUUUGGUAGCUUUGCAAGGUUUUUAAAUAUAGGUUCGCUCUUUAAACUUGGAACACAUGCAUGCCUUUGAAUCAAAUUCUAUAUUGUAUGCUGUAUUCCACAAGCUGUAGUUCAUCAAAUGUCCAUAAAUGCUACAAUAAUGGUUAAGCACGCUGUAAUGUUACUUUUGUACCUCAUCACCCACUAAAUGCAACUACAUUAGUGGUCUAAUAACACUUAGCGCGCUUCGGCACGGUUCCAUCAUGCCGCUUAUAGUGUUGCCACAUAUAAUGCUUAGUUUGCUAAACCCAGUUAUCUGGCUGGUGGGACAUGGGAGCCCAAGCUUCAUCCAUUAAUGCAAUUAGACGUUUAUUGAACAAUAAAAUGAGCGAUUCGAAUAUUUGAAGAACUUUUCAAAGAACAUAGAAGCUUGUGUAAAGUCAACAUUUAACGAACUUAAUCUAUGCAAUAUCUUGCAUUUUAACGCUUCGAAUGAUGUUCAAGUAUAGGUUCAAGUUGUAGUAUAUCGAGUUUUUUUAGUGCUACAAUAAUGGUUAAGCACGCUGUAAUGUUACUUUUGUACCUCAUCACCCACUAAAUGCAACUACAUUAGUGGUCUAAUAACAUUUAGCGCGCUUAGGCACGGUUCCAUCAUGCCGCUUAUAGUGUUGCCACAUAUAAUGCCUUAGUCUGCUAAACCCAGUUAUCUGGCUGGUGGGGCAUGGGAGCCCAAGCUUCAAUCAUUAAUGCAAUUAAACAUUACUCGAUUUACGACAUGAUUGAUCCAAAUAUUAGAUAAUUGUUCGAUCUGUGUUCUUAAAAUGUAGCCCUGAAUGUAGCAUAAAAUAUACAAGCUUCUAGUCCAAAUGCAUAAAGAUAGUUCAGAUUCACUGUUUUUCAGAAUUUUCUCAAGCAAUCAGUAACAAAAGUAAAAAGCAGAAAUAGAUCAAAUCAUGCCAAAAUGUUCAUAAUCGCUUGUAAAAUAAAACUAUUCCAAAACAUUAGAAUUUUCUGUUUCACAAUAGAAAACAAUUCCCAAACCUUUGGAUAGGACAAAACAGUAUGUUCCGUAAUCACAAUUGAAAGCAAUUCCAGAACAAUAGAAUCUAAUGUGUAAUUAAGUCAGUGCUCAAAGAACAAUAUGAAAACAUAAGAAUCUUGUGUAUCACAAUAGAAAACAAUUCCCAAACCAUUGAAUGAAAUGUGGAAUCAGUAAUAAAAUUACUACUCAAAACAAUACGUUUACCGUGCAAUUCACUGUUUGAAACAAUUCGAAAACAUAAGAAUCUUCUGUAUCACACAAGGUAUCACAAUAGAAAACGAUACCCAAACCAUUGAAUUCAAUGUAAAUACAGUACAAACAGUAUGUUCUGUUUCACAAUAGAAAACAAUUCCAAAACAAUUGAAUCAAAUGUGGAACCAUAAAUAAAUUCACUACCCAAAACAAUACGUUUACCAUGCAAUUCACUUUUUGGAACAAUUCGAAAACAUAAGAAUCUUCUGUUUCACAAUAGAAAACCAUCCCCAAACCAUUGAAUCUAAUGUAAGAUCACAGUUCAAAAUAGACAGUUCUUGGCAUAUUUAACAGUUCAAAACAAUACAAAUACAUAAAAAUCUACGGUAUAUUUGAUUCCCCGUAUAUGCAUUAACAACAUUUCAUUUACAUUAGAAUCAUCUGUUUUGCGAAAAAACUUGUAUGGAAAAAAGUCCUUUUUUCUAUUGUUACGAUACUUAACAACCUAUACAAUUCAAUGUGAAAUGCUCAUUCACAUUUGAUUCUAUUGUUAGAAACAUUUGAUUCUAUUGUUUUUCUACUGUUAUUUUAACAUUGAAUUCUAUUGUGAGAGUAUGGUUUUCAAUGGUACUGUUACAUAAGAAUCCUAUGUUUUUCUAUUGUAUUUUUUAUCCGGGAGAUCUUACAAGAUCUCCAUGGAAUAAUAUAAGCGUUUGUGUCCAGUCCACAAAACAACCAGUGCUUGUGCAGGUCUGUGAAGGUCCGUAAUGUCCGUAAUGUAAUAAUGUCCGCGAAGGAAUUUAGAGGUCCACAAAGCGCUGUAAUGGUCUUUAAAUAUUAUUCAAGGCCGUGCAUGGUUCACUCUCAUUAUUUGAGGUGUUGUAAACAUUUAAGUAAAUAGGUUCCAAUUCGUAAAAACACGCUUCACUAAUAAAUCUAAUACCAGAUUUAGAUUCUGCAAUGAUUGAUCUACCGAGAAAAGCGAUCAUGACGACCAAAUGUUUCCUCAGAGGUAUUUAAUGGCUAAUAUGGUAAUUUUAUGUUGGAAUAUUUCAAUCAUCGCCGACAACUUGAUUGAAAUUGCAGGAUAGGAGCAAGUAGUAGCCAAUUUUCUUUCAAUGUCUCCCAUGGAUCCUAAAGAAAGACAUAAUAGUAGUUGCGAAGCGAUUUUUUUUUUGUAUGGAGCGGUUUGUAUAGGGAAAAUUUGACUUUUGUAAUGUGGCAUCAUUUGAUGGUUUAACAUUUUUUGAAUAUUUUUCAAUCCGUAUUUUAUCAAUUGGGUUUUUAAAUUAAGACAAAUGUAUUGAUUUUUCAAUUUUUUACGAAAGAGCACCUUUUUCUGUGCCACCAUGAUUUUUUUCAGAAUUUUAGAACUUUAUUUUGGUACCUAAAAUCGCUUUCGAAGAGAUUUUUCGAAAUCACCUUUUGACAGCUGGCCAACUGCUUGACAGCUCCGCCCAGUACAAAAUGCGACGAGGGGUGAUUCGACAAAUUGCUCCCAUACAAACUUCAAACUGAUUUUUAAAUAGGUUCCCGGGCACCAAAAUUCAUGAAAAUUUGGAUUUCGGCUCAGUUUUGCAUGCAGAUUUUGAAAAUAGAAUGAUCUCAAUACCGCUAAAGAAGCCAAUUCCCCAAAAAAGUUGAAAAAAGUGACUUUUUAGGUGAAAAUAGUGACUUUAGUGACCUGACCUUGAAAAAAGAGACUUUUUAGUGACCAACCCAAAAAAAGUGACUAAGUCACUAAAAAGUGACUUGCUACCAGCCCUGCGUAAUUUAUGUUUAAUUCUUUACUGUCCGAUUGCUAAAUACAGGGUGUUAGGUUCAUGAGUGCAAACUUUUUAAAGGGUGAUAGAGGACCAUAAAUGGUGAAAAAAAUUGUUCUACGCAUAUGGUCAAAUCUCAACCGUUACGUAGUUAUUGAACUCCCCAUGUUUUUGACUCUUAUUGCCUUAACUGGUUAUAACUUCAAAAUGGUCAAACUUAUUGCAGUUUUUUUAUUCUUAUACGAAAGAUUAUUGAACUUUCUAUCAAAUGGCAUCUUUGAAUCGAUUGGUUUAGUUAAAUAACUAAGUUUUCUAGAGCUAAAUAGCUAAAAAUAGUGUGUUUUUAUUUGUUUAUGUCAAUUAUCUUUGAAACAUGCAUAGUAAAUUAAAAUUCUUUCUUUGGCAAAGUUGUGGCCCCUGUUCCACUCUACAAUUUGUUCUUUGACGCCAAACUUCUAACUCUUAUCGUUUUCUUGCUAUUUUGAUUUAAAUGUGCGGCACAGUGCGCAAAAAAGUGCUCACCAUGACGAUUGCAAAUUUAUGAUCUGAAAUGCGACGUUUAAAUCGAAAUUGCAAGAAAACGAUAAGAGAUAAAAGUUUCAUGUCAAAGAACGAAUUGUAGAGUAGAAUAGGGGCCACAACUUUGCCAAAGAAAGAAUUUUAAAUUAUCACGCAUUUUUCAAAGAUAAUUGGCAAAAACAAAUUAAAACACACAACUUUUAGGCUAUUUUCUCUAGAAAAUUUAGUUAUUUAACUAAACCAAUCGGUUCAAAGAUGCCAUUUGAUAGAAAAUUCAAUAAUCUUUCGAAUAAGGGUAAAAAAUUUGCGAUAAGUUUGACCAUUUUAAAGUUAUAGCCAGUUAUGGCAAUAAGAGUCAAAAACAUUGGGAGUUCAAUAACUACGUAACGGUUGAGAUUUGACCAUAUGCGUAAAACAAUUUUUUUCACCAUUUAUGGUCCUCUAUCACCCUUUAAAAAGUUUGCACUCAGGAACCUAACACCCUGUAUAAUUGACACGGAAAAAAAAUACACGGUAAUGAAAAAUAUUGGGUACCGGACUGGACAUACAAAAUUUAAUGGUUUCCUAUGGUACAUCGAGGUCUUGAAAUUAGUCUAUGGUUGCACGAUCAACAAAAGCUUGCACUAAGCAAUGCUGUCUACCCAUGUUUAUGUUUUGCAGAUAAGCCGCUUCCAGAUUUUCCGUAAGAAAUAAUGUCUUCCAGAUUAUGUGUUUAUUUGUCACUAGUAUUAUUGUAACUUAUGAAGAAAUUAAAAGUGCUGAAGGUCAGCCUUACUGAUUACUGAAUGAAUUAGUAAGGUUAUAAGUAUAUAGGGUAAAAUAUUUGACAAGGACUCAAGAAAAACAUCUGUCUGACACUAAUGAAAAUUCGAUCAAGUAAACAAUAUGUUUGAGCAUUGAUAUAUCUUUUUUGUUCAAAUGUUUGACUUUGUGUGCUGACCAGGUACGUUUAAAUUUGGACCACUAUGAAGUAUCAUCAUUUAAUGAGCCAUUUUACGAAACGACAACAAUUUUGAUAUUGACAUUCACACACUCAGGAAAAUUGCCUCAUACUUAAUGGCAAAUAUCCAUGUGCCAAACCACAUCCAAAGUAUAUGCAAUAUGCAACCAAUACCCGAUUACACAGGCAAAUUAGCACAUGCAUAAUAUGUGUUCUAAAUUGUAUGAGUCGCUGCUGUAUGGUGCCUCAUCAAAAGUAUGAGUCGCACUAAUGGAAACCAUUUGUUUACCCCUAUUGCAAAAAUCCAUGUCCCGGACACAUAGAAGGAAUGACGAUUUUUUCCCAGUGCAUGUACGCCACUUCCUGUCAAAUGUUCAUUCAUAAAAUCGGCUCUUAAAAUGUACUUAAUAUGUCGCCCCCUUAAUGCUACAACUAGGUAACUGGUUUUACGAAAUUUCGAGAUAUUUGAUAGAAAUCCGAACAUACACAAUAAAAAAACAAAAGUUUAUCCAUUGGAACUAUGAAAAAACCAGCCCAGUGGCAGGCAUUGUUGUCAACAUCUCUUUUGUUAUAAUGGCCCCAAAAUGUGUUGAUCAAACGAAAUUGGGCCCCUGAUGUCUGAACUGUCACACCAUGUUAUUAAUAUAGGCGUGUCAAGAGCGUGGAAAAAACAAUGAUUCAUCUUUUAAGACCAACAAAAUGUUUGUUUUACACCAGGAUUAGUUUUACCAGCCAUUUUUUUCGCACUACCACAACGAGUUACCUAUUAGCAUUAAGGGGGCGAUGUGAUAUUGAUUGAUCUUCUUCUUCUUUUUGGCUCAACAUGCCCAAUGGGACUUGGCCAGCCUAACUUCAACUUAGUGUUCUUUGAGCACUUCCACAGUUAUUAAUUGAAGGGCUUUCUUUGCCUGCCAUUGCAUGAAUUUGUAUAUUGUGAGGCAAGUACAAUGAUACAUUAUGCCCAGGAAGUCGAGAAAAUUUUCCCGACCGAAUCGGAAAUCGAACCUGCCGUCUCCGGAUUAGCGAUCCAUAGCCUUAACCACUAGGCUAACUGGAGACCCGAUUAUCCAGAAUAUGCUCAUAUCAUUUGUUUCUUUGAACUAACAAAAAGUGUUUAACUACAGAUAUUACUAAAUAAGCGCUGUUUGCAGAUAAGAAGGAAUUUCUCAGCCUAUCUUGAUGCAUGGGAAAUUCCUUGCCUGAAUCGCUCAAGAAACCGGUUUUUCUUCGAUCGCAGUACGCAGUAGCGAAGAAAUGACAGUUUAAAUGGCAGUCACCGAAGAAAGUUUCUGUCAGGAAUCACUCAAGAAGUUUCUUGAGCGAUUCCUUUCGAACUCGAAACUGCGCUAUAAACACAAAUAUUUUGAGCCAUGUUUUCCAUAUUAAGGGCGAACGCGACGGUCGGGAAAAUAUCCGCCAUUGUUCUGUUGCAGCUAAGAUGGUAAUCUCCAAUUCUACUUCAUAUUAUGUAACAAAAACUUAUCAUUGUGUAUGCUUACUUUGUUUGAUUGUUUUCAGCCUCUUUUGUGCGAUAGAAAUCGAGAUUACCAUCUUCAAAAUCGCGAAGCAAAUUGUUAGAAAAAGGCGUCCCGUAUCACCUUAAUAGUAAUAAAUACUAAUGGGACACAUGUACCGAAACCCGCAAUCUGCCAACACUGCUGAUUUACUACCCGGUCACUCACUCUCACUUUUACGCUUACCCGGCCGACCGCAUCAUCAAUCAACCAUCUUGGGAACUCGCCGAAUCGAGUCGAGCUACAGCCGAUUCAUCACUUUUUACCCACGACGAAAACUAAUCACAUAUUUGCGACAUGUUCCUCAAACACAAAAUUACAGCUUCACUUGGGCCAUUGCAGCACAUGGGGUACCUUCAUAGUAAUUUGAUUGGUUUUCACAAGAAAGUAUAGUAGGAUCGCGAUAUACAAGGAACGCGAUUAUCACACAAAGCAUUGAGAAAAGAUUUUUGAUUAAUGUGCAUCACACGUCUUUGUGUGUCGAUUAGUUUUAGCGUACUAUUUUCGGCCACUCACGAUGAAACGGAACCCUUAUCA